rnacentral:rRNA from 1 species
UGGGGAAUCUUCCGCAAUGGGCGAAAGCCUGACGGAGCAACGCCGCGUGAGUGAAGACGGCCUUCGGGUUGUAAAGCUCUGUUACACGGGACGAACGGGUUUUGUGCAAACAGCAUAAGACCGUGACGGUACCGUAGAAGAAAGCCACGGCUAACUACGUGCCAGCAGCCGCGGUAAUACGUAGGUGGCAAGCGUUGUCUGGAAUGAUUGGGCGUAAAGGGCGCGCAGGCGGCCGACCAAGUCUGUCUAAAAAGUGCGGGGCUUAACCCCGUGAGGGGAGAGAAACUGGUUGGCUGAGAGUAUCGGAGAGGAAAGCGGAAUUCCUAGUGUAGCGGUGAAAUGCGUAGAUAUUAGGAGGAACACCGGUGGCGAAAGCGGCUUUCUGGACGACAACUGACGCUGAGGCGCGAAAGCUAGGGGAGCAAACGGGAUUAGAUACCCCGGUAGUCCUAGCCGUAAACGAUGGGUACUAGGUGUGGGAGGUAUCGACCCCUUCCGUGCCGGAGUUAACGCAAUAAGUACCCCGCCUGGGGAGUACGGCCGCAAGGUUG